AUGCAAAAGUUUGAAUUUCACAUAAUGGCUUUCAAAUUUUUGUUUGACAAAGGCCACACCAAAAUAAUAAUAAUAAUAAUAAUAAUAAUAAUAAUAAUAAUAAUAAUAAUAAUAAUAAUGUUGACAAGCUAUGGACUUGUCAACACCAGGAGAGGAAUUUUCCAGGGAGACUCAUUGUCCCCUCUGCUUUUCAUUAUUGCCAUGAUCCCUCUGUCAAUAAUCUUACAAAAAACAAAUCUCGGCUACCAAACAUCUAAGAAUUCUCACAAAAUUUCGCAUCUGAUGUACAUGGAUGACCUGAAGCUGUAUGGAAAAACGGAAACUGAAAUCCAGUCUCUGACUAACACUGUCCGAAUUUUUAGCACUGAUAUCAGCAUGGAGUUUGGCUUGGACAAAUGUUCGACAGUGGCAUUGAAGAAGGGAAAAAUCAUUGAAAGUGAGGGCAUAAAUAUACCUAAUGGCCAAACAAUAAAGUGUCACCAGCCAGAGGCCUAUAAAUAUCUGGGCAUAUUACAGCUGGACAACAUCAAGCAUGAACAUGUGAAGACUGUGGUCAGUAAAGAAUACACACAAAGGGUCAGAAAAAUUCUCAAAAGCAAGCUCAAUAGAGGCAACACCAUCAAGGGCAUAAACACCUGGGCCAUACCUGUCAUAAGAUAUACUGCUGGCAUUAUAAACUGGACACAGGUGGAACUGGACAAUUUGGACAGAAAAACAAGAAAACUCAUGACCAUUCAUCAUUCACUGCACCCUCACAGUGAUGUUGACCGGCUAUAUCUGCCUAGAAGAUCAGGGGGCAAAGGACUCUUACAAGUAAAACAAGCAGUCAAAGAAGAAGAACAUGCCCUGGCAGAAUAUGUAAAGCAAAGUGAAGAACCUGCUUUGAUUGAAGUCAAAAAUCAGAAACUCCUCAAAGCACAGCAGACAAAAACCAGUACAAGAAAACCACACUACAAACUAGAGCUGACAGCUGGCACAACAAAACAUUGCAUGGAAAGUUCCUUGACAAAACUGAAGGAAAAGCUGAUAAGGAGAAGACCUGGCUCUGGCUCACGAAUGGGACCCUGA
rnacentral:lncRNA from 1 species